rnacentral:rRNA from 1 species
CGUAGCGGAUCCUCCGACAGCAGUUUGUGCGUGACGAUGCCGCCGUCGGGGCGGCGGGCGACGAUGUCGGUGAAGGUGCCGCCGCGGUCAAUCCAGAAUUGCCAGCGCCGGGAUGGUGAUGCUGAUGCGGUCAUGCGAGCCAUAUAGUGAAGGUGUCAGUGCAUGUUAGCGCAUAGUCAGGUUGACGCUUGAGGAGCGGCAGGUUUUUAAUCGGCAUGGCUGCGGAAAAGCAACGCUCCGCUGCGCCAGA